AAGUUAAAAAGAAGCUUGAGCUGG
rnacentral:piRNA from 1 species